rnacentral:rRNA from 1 species
ACGGGUGAGUAACGCGUGGGAAUCUACCGUGCCCUGCGGAAUAGCUCCGGGAAGCUGGGAUUAAUACCGCAUACGCCCUACGGGGGAAAGAUUUAUCGGGGUAUGAUGAGCCCGCGUUGGAUUAGCUAGUUGGUGGGGUAAAGGCCUACCAAGGCGACGAUCCAUAGCUGGUCUGAGAGGAUGAUCAGCCACAUUGGGACUGAGACACGGCCCAAACUCCUACGGGAGGCAGCAGUGGGGAAUAUUGGACAAUGGGCGCAAGCCUGAUCCAGCCAUGCCGCGUGAGUGAUGAAGGCCUUAGGGUUGUAAAGCUCUUUCACCGGAGAAGAUAAUGACGGUAUCCGGAGAAGAAGCCCCGGCUAACUUCGUGCCAGCAGCCGCGGUAAUACGAAGGGGGCUAGCGUUGUUCGGAAUUACUGGGCGUAAAGCGCACGUAGGCGGAUAUUUAAGUCAGGGGUGAAAUCCCAGAGCUCAACUCUGGAACUGCCUUUGAUACUGGGUAUCUUGAGUAUGGAAGAGGUAAGUGGAAUUCCGAGUGUAGAGGUGAAAUUCGUAGA